GUGUCAGCAGCCGCGGUAAGACGUAGGGGGCGAGCGUUGUCCGGAAUUAUUGGGCGUAAAGCGCGCGUAGGCGGCUCGGAAAGUCGGAUGUGAAAAUCCGGGGCUCAACCCCGGACCUGCAUCCGAUACUCCCGAGCUGGAGGCAGGCAGGGGAGAUCGGAAUUCCUGGUGUAGCGGUGAAAUGCGCAGAUAUCAGGAGGAACACCGGUGGCGAAGGCGGAUCUCUGGGCCUGUCCUGACGCUCAGGCGCGAAAGCUAGGGGAGCAAACAGGAUUAGAUACCCUGGUAGUCC
rnacentral:rRNA from 1 species